AUGCCAUUAUGACAGCCAAAAUGACGACAGCACAUGUGUCUGUCAUUGAAAAGCUGAAAGAACUAGGGCUUUGUGCAAAAGUUGUGACGACAAACUGGGAACAGGCUGAGAAGAAGGCAUGGAAGAGGGUGUUUUUAAGUAUUACACUCUGGGAGUGCCUUUUCCAUUACCAGUGUGUUAUCUAUAGACAGGCCAAGAAGAAGGGGUUGUUGCACCCCUUUAAAAAAGGGUGGCGACAAUGAAGUGGCUCGCCUUCUGAAAUUGGUUUUUGUCCUCCUUCGCCUUCCACCAAGAGAAAUUAAGAAAAGAUUUACAGCUAUCAAAAGAGAGGCAGAAACCAGGCUGGAAGGGAGAAUGGAGAGGAAAAUGAACAAACUGUUCAAAUACUUAGAAAACCAAAUGGCUCGCCCGAACAACUCCUGAAGAACUCUCUGUCUUCGAGAAGAAUGUAGUGGUGACGAAAGGUUUGGAGAUUGUUAAUGCCGGGAUCAACGAUCUCUUGCCCAUUGAAGCCCCCUCCUUUCUGUAUAUUUCUUGACUUGCUGAAGGAUUUUGACAAAGAGAUGUCUCAUAAGCACGACGCGGCGGUACACCGUGGGUGGGUGUAGCGGGCCUUGGCGGUGGGGUGCUUCUCUGGAGGUCAAUAUAGUAACCCCCUCCUCCUACUGACCUGACGGGUCGCGCUGGCUUGCGCUGUGCGAGCGGCUUUGGCGCGCGCUGGCCCAGGUCGAAUCGCUGGGAGAAUUGAGUCGUUAUGCUGCAACACGCCGGCCACAACUGUCUUUCAUCACGGCGAUCAAAUAGCUAUCAAUAAGUCGCAACGACGAACGGUUCGGAUGACUCAUUCACAUUGGGAUUGUGGUUGGCCGCCUUUGGCCUUUCGGCUCACCGGCCUGCGGAUGGGUGUCGGGCGAGAUCCUGCGCGAGAGCUGUGGCUGAAAAUAUAAAUAUCGAAAAGUGCACAGUUCUGCUUUUGGACGCGAAGGCUGUGCUACGACCGACGACCAUAUAUUGCCAGAUGUGCGGGUGUCAGCCGGCGGCGCUCUGUCGCGGUUACAGCAACCCCUGUGGAUACCGCCGUGGACCAAACCGAGGAAGUCCGAGCAAGACGACUCACCACCCUGGCAG